CUUCAGGCUUGCUGGUAUGAGUCAGAAACAGCUCUGUAUUUGUGGGUCUGAAGGUUUGCUCAUGGUGGGCAGGGCUGCUCCUGGAGAUACAUGGUCUCAAACUGUGACUGUUUAAUGAGGAGGAUGAGGAGACAAAUCCUGAGGAUACUCUUACGUGUGCUUCUAGCAAACAGAGGUCUUGAAGGAGGAUACUGAGAGAAUGAUUCUCUGUUUUGAAUCUAAUGGAGGAGUUGCUAUCCUCCAGAGCAAAUGUUACAUGGAAAACCAGAAGAUGCUGAUGAAGACACACCUGUAAUACAGUUCCUGAAGCAGUGAUGUAUUACUGGAAUGCAAUGCUUGAUCGAUUUCCAA